UACAGAGGGUGCAAGCGUUAAUCGGAUUUACUGGGCGUAAAGCGUGCGUAGGCGGUUUGUUAAGUCGGAUGUGAAAUCCCUGGGCUCAACCUGGGAACUGCAUUCGAUACUGGCAGGCUAGAAAACGGUAGAGGGAGGCGGAACUCCAGGUGUAGCAGUGAAAUGCGUAGAUAUCUGGAAGAACACCGAUGGCGAAGGCAACCUCCUGGGCCUGUUUUGACGCUGAGGCACGAAAGCGUGGGGAGCAAACAGG
rnacentral:rRNA from 1 species